GAUGAACGCUGGCGGUAUGCUUAACACAUGCAAGUCGAACGGACUCUUCGGAGUUAGUGGCGGACGGGUGAGUAACGCGUGAGAAUCUGGCUUUGGGUUCGGGACAACCACUGGAAACGGUGGCUAAUACCGGAUGUGCCGAGAGGUAAAAGAGAAAUUGCCUGAAGAUGAGCUCGCGUCUGAUUAGCUAGUUGGUGAGGUAAAGGCUCACCAAGGCAGCGAUCAGUAGCUGGUCUGAGAGGAUGACCAGCCACACUGGGACUGAGACACGGCCCAGACUCCUACGGGAGGCAGCAGUGGGGAAUUUUCCGCAAUGGGCGAAAGCCUGACGGAGCAAUACCGCGUGAGGGAAGAAGGGUCUUGGGUUGUAAACCUCUUUUCUUAGGGAAGAACAAAAUGACGGUACCUAAGGAAUCAGCAUCGGCUAACUCCGUG
rnacentral:rRNA from 1 species